rnacentral:lncRNA from 1 species
UCCUAGUUCUUUUUCCUCUCUUUUGUCUCAAGUUUAUCCUGGUCAAGCCCAAGUUCCUUUUGUUUCUUGUUCAGCCUUCAUUCUUUUCCUCAGCCUCAUGUCUACUGAAAAGUAUGAAGUUUUAUUGGUUCGCCUUAAUGGCAAGAACUACUCAGCCUGGGCAUUUGAGUUCCAGAUCUUUGUCAAAGGUAAGAGCCUUUGGGGUCAUGUUGAUGGUAGCACUUCUGCUCCUGACAAAGAGAAACAAAAAACUGAAUAUGCCGAUUGGGAAGUCAAAGAUAAUCAAGUCAUGGCGUGGAUCAUCAGAUCUGUUGAUCCAAAUAUUGUCCUCAAUCUUAGACCAUUCAGCACUGCAGCCAAGAUGUGGGCCUACCUGAAGAAAAUAUACAGCCAGAAUAACACCGCUCGAAGGUUCCAGCUUGAACAUGACAUCGCCAUUUUUCAACAGGAGAGUCUUUCAAUUUCUGAGUUCUAUUCUCAAUUCAUGAAUCUUUGGGCUGAUUACACUGACAUUGUCUAUGAUAGUGUGUCUACUGAAGGUCUUACUUCCGUACAAACUGUUCAUGAAACCACCAAACGAGAUCAAUUUCUUAUGAAAUUGAGAUCUGAUUUUGAAGGUAUUCGAACCAAUCUCAUGAAUAGAGCUACUGUACCUUCCUUGGAUGCAUGCCUCAAUGAACUGCUUCGUGAAGAACGCCGCCUCCUUACUCUAGCAACCAUGGAGCAGCACAAAUCUGCCUCACUUCCUGUUGCCUAUGCUGUUCAAGGAAAGCCUAGAGGACGGGACCUAAGUGCUGUUCAAUGUUUCUGCUGCAAAGGAUUUGGACAUUAUGCUUCAAAUUGUCCUAGAAAGUCCUGCAAUUACUGCAAAAAAGAUGGUCAUGUCAUUAAAGAAUGUCCUAUAAGACCACCUAAGAAAAAUGCAACAACAUUUACCACCUCAGUUCAUUCUCCUAUUGCCCCAAGUUCUGUGGAUAUAGCAAAUGUGCAGCAUAAUGCUCCUACCCCUGUUCAAGCUUUGACCCCUGAAAUUGUU